ensembl:lncRNA LINC01811 long intergenic non-protein coding RNA 1811
AGGAGGUUGAAUAGGGUUAGAAAGACGGCAUGACUAUAUCUCUAAUGUAGACCUAAAGUGCUUCCUAGAGCUAGGGACCAGGAUUCUAAAUGAGACCUGAGGGAAUGGAGCUGUUGUUGACAAGAGCUGUUAGACAAACAGGACAUGGAGGAGGAGAGGUCAAAAGUCCGUCUGACUCACCUGUGCUGAGUGACUUGAAUGCCAUCUAAUCUAACUUCAAGAUCAUCAGGAUACUUGCCAACAAGGUCACAGUGGACUCCAUGGAGCAACUGCCCUCAGGAGGCAACAGGUCACAGUGUUUGGACACCGCAUGAACAUGCCAAUUUCCUGUGUUGUAAUAUUUUUAUGCACUUUAAGAAGACCACCAGAAACAGCAGAAUGGGGGAGGCUGAGCAAGAUGGCCAAAUAGAAGCCUCUAUUGAUCAUCCCCCCUGCAGGAACACCAAAUUUAACAACUAUCUGCAUAAAAAAGCACUUUCAUAAGAACCAAAACUCAGGUACCAGCUCAGCCACAGCGGGGUAGAGCACCAAGCUCUUGGUGUGCCCAGUUCCAGGCCUUGAUUCUUGGAUGGCCUUUCUGGACCUGCCCUGGGCCACAGGGGAGCACACUUUCCUGAAGGUGUGAUUUGCUGCUCUUACCAUUAAGAGGUGAAAUCUCUUUCCUCGCUAUUUGAAUAUGACUGUGCCUGGUGAGUGACACUGAACGAAAGAAUGCAGCAGAAGUGAUGGUGUGCCAAUUCCAAGUCCAGGCUUUACUCUCUUGAGAUUCUUGCAAACAACGAUGUGUGCAAAUCCAGGAUGGCCUGCUGGAGGGAGACAAGUGAACCAUCACCAUCUUCACCCUGACCAACAGCCAGCCAAUCAUUAGACAGGAGUGAGGACAUCCUAGGCCAGCCACUGACCUGAUGACUGCAGAUCCAUGAGUGAGCUCUGCUCAGAUCAGCUAAAUAUGGCUGGCACCAAAAGAAUGACUCAGCUGACCCACAGAUUCAUGAGUUAAAUAUGUCCCUUUUGUUUUAAAUCACUAAGUGACUUAAUGAGUGAUAAAUGGCAUAGGGUUUAAACUAUCUUGUUAUGAAGAAGAAUAGUUGAACCACUUGCUCUGAGUAGAAGUCAAUGUAAGUCACAUUUUCAAUAAAAAAUACAGGUUUGUUGUUAUAUAAC